rnacentral:rRNA from 1 species
AUUGAACGCUGGCGGAAUGCCUAACACAUGCAAGUCGAACGAGGUGUAGCAAUACACCUAGUGGCGGACGGGUGAGGAACACAUAGGAAUCUACCUUUUUAGUGGGGGAGUAACCCGGGAAACGUACGGAUUAAUACCGCAUACGAUCUACGGAUGAAAGUAGGGGGACCGGCAAGGCCUCACGCUGUUAGAUGAGCCUAUGUCCGAUUAGCUAGUUGGUAGGGUAAUGGCCUACCAAGGCGACGAUCGGUAGCUGGUCUGAGAGGACGACCAGCCACACUGGGACUGAGACACGGCCCAGACUCCUACGGGAGGCAGCAGUGGGGAAUAUUAGACAAUGGCGCAAGCCUGAUCCAGCGAUGCCGCGUGUGUGAAGAAGGCCUGCGGGUUGUAAGCACUUUCAGUAGGGAAGAAAGACCGAGUGCUAAUAUCACUCGGCCUUGACGUUACUUAC